AACGAACGCUGGCGGCGGGCCUAACACAUGCAAGUCGAGCGCGAACGUCACCUUCGGGUGGCUAGUAGAGCGGCGCACGGGUGAGUAACACGUGGGUAAUCUACCUAUCGGCUCGGGAUAACAUCUCGAAAGGGGUGCUAAUACCGGAUACGUUCUGCGGGUCCUUGGGCCUGCAGAGGAAAGCCGGUCUUCGGAUUGUCACCGAUAGAUGAGCCCGCGUCCCAUCAGCUAGUUGGUAGGGUAACGGCCUACCAAGGCGACGACGGGUAGCUGGUCUGAGAGGAUGAUCAGCCACACUGGAACUGAGACACGGCCCAGACUCCUACGGGAGGCAGCAGUGGGGAAUUUUGGACAAUGGGGGCAACCCUGAUCCAGCCAUGCCGCGUGCGGGAAGAAGGCCUUCGGGUUGUAAACCGCUUUUGUCAGGGAAGAAACGCUCUGGGCUAAUACCCCGGGGUAAUGACGGUACCUGAAGAAUAAGCACCGGCUAACUACGUGCCAGCCGCCGCAGUAAUAC
rnacentral:rRNA from 1 species